rnacentral:rRNA from 1 species
UACGGGAGGCAGCAGUGGGGAAUAUUGCACAAUGGGCGGAAGCCUGAUGCAGCGACGCCGCGUGAGGGAUGACGGCCUUCGGGUUGUAAACCUCUUUCAGUAGGGAAGAAGCGCAAGUGACGGUACCUGCAGAAGAAGCGCCGGCUAACUACGUGCCAGCAGCCGCGGUAAUACGUAGGGCGCAAGCGUUGUCCGGAAUUAUUGGGCGUAAAGAGCUCGUAGGCGGUCUGUCGCGUCUGCUGUGAAAGCCCGGGGCUCAACCCCGGGUCUGCAGUGGGUACGGGCAGACUAGAGUGCAGUAGGGGAGACUGGAAUUCCUGGUGUAGCGGUGAAAUGCGCAGAUAUCAGGAGGAACACCGAUGGCGAAGGCAGGUCUCUGGGCUGUUACUGACGCUGAGGAGCGAAAGCAUGGGGAGCGAACAGGAUUAGAUACCCUGGUAGUCCAUGCCGUAAACGUUGGGCACUAGGUGUGGGGGACAUUCCACGUUCUCCGCGCCGUAGCUAACGCAUUAAGUGCCCC